GUUUCAUGUCAGUUGUCACAUUUAUCUAAAUACAACCUAUGAUGUACGGAUACCAAUUAUUUCUUUAAUUAAUUUUUUGUGUAAUAUAGGUACUGUCAAGAAAUAAAUACUUACCAAUAUAGAGUGUAGACCGAGAAAUACACGUAUGAAUUCUCGAUACUAUUAUUUAGAAUUGGACGUGGAUAAAUUAGGGAACGCUGAGCAACCAGCACUAGCAGCACAGAGCUUGCUGCAACACGUGGGACGAGAGCUGUUCGGGGAAGUGGGCGUCCCCCACGCAGACAUACUGCGAGCAGACGGCUCCCGGGUGCUUGUGCGAGUGCAGUCCCAGUCGCUGAGGAAGUUCCGAGCGGCCAUAGCUCUGUCACCUCAGAGAAUACACGUCUGCAACCAAGCACCUUCUCUGCAGGCAUUAAUUUGAUUCCAUGUCGGGGACGCAGGUGGAGAGCGCGGGCGGGGCGGGCGGG